AUCAACGCUGGCGGCGUGCCUAACACAUGCAAGUCGGACGCGAAAGUGGAGCAAUCCAUGAGUAGAGUGGCAAACGGGUGAGUAACACGUGGGUGACCUGCCUUCGAGCGGGGGAUAACGUCCCGAAAGGGACGCUAAUACCGCAUAACAUCCUGCUUUUUAAGAGGUGGAGAUCAAAGCUGGGGAUCGCAAGACCUAGCACUCGAAGAGGGGCCCGCGUCUCGAUUAGCUAUGUUGGUGGGGUAAUGGUCUCACCAAGGCAACGAUCGGUAGCCGGCCUGAGAGGGCGGACGGCCACACUGGGACUGAGACACGGCCAGACUCCUACGGGAGGCAGCAGUGGGGGAAUUGUUCGUCAAUGGGCGCAAGCCUGACGACGCAACGCCGCGUGGAGGAUGAAGAUCUUCGGGUCGUAAACUCCUUUCGAUCGAGACGAACAGUCUCCGGGUGAACAAUCCGGAGGUUUGACGGUACCGAGAGAAGAAGCCCCGGCUAACUCCGUGCCAGCAGCCGCGGUAAUACGGGGUGGGGCAAGCGUUGUUCGGAAUUACUGGGCGUAAAGGGCUCGUAGGCGGCCAACUAAGUCAGACGUGAAAUCCCUCGGCUUAACCGGGGAACUGCGUCUGAUACUGGAUGGCUUGAGUUUGGGAGAGGGAUGCGGAAUUCCAGGUGUAGCGGUGAAAUGCGUAGAUAUCUGGAGGAACAACCAGUGGCGAGGGCGGCUCACUGGCCCUGGUACUGACGCUGAUGUGCGAAAGCGUGGGGAGCAAACAGGAUUAGAUACCCUGGUAGUCCACGCCGUAAACGAUGGAUGCUAGCCGUUGGCGGGUUACCCGUCAGUGGACGCAGCUAACGCAUUAAGCAUCCCGCCUGGGGGAGUACGGUCGCAAGAUUAAAAACUCAAAGGAAUUGACGGGGGCCCGUACAAGCGGUGGAGCAUGUGGUUCAAUUCGAAGCAACGCGCAGAACCUUACCAGCCCUUGACAUGUCCCGUAUGGGUUUCAGAAAUGAGACCCUUCAGUUCGGCUGGCGGGAACACAGGGUGCUGCAUGGCUGUCGUCAGCUCGUGUCGUGAGAUGUUGGGUUAAGUCCCGCAACGAGCGCAACCCUCGCCCUUAGUUGCCAUCAUUCAGUUGGGCACUCUAAGGGGACUGCCGGUGAUAAGCCGCGAGGAAGGUGGGGAUGACGUCAAGUCCUCAUGGCCUUACGGGCUGGGCUACACACGUGCUACAAUGGCGGUGACAAUGGGAUGCAAUGGAGCAAUCCUGCGCAAAUCUCCAAAAGCCGUCUCAGUUCGGAUUGGAGUCUGCAACUCGACCCCAUGAAGUCGGAAUCGCUAGUAAUCGUAGAUCAGCACGCUACGGUGAAUACGUUCCCGGGCCUUGUACACACCGCCCGUCACACCAUGGGAGUUGGCUUUACCUGAAGCCGGUGCGCUAACCGCAAGGAGGCAGCCGACCACGGUAGGGUCAGCGACUGGGGUG
rnacentral:rRNA from 1 species